rnacentral:rRNA from 1 species
GACAGAGGUUGCAAACGUUGUUCGGAAUUACUGGGCAUAAAGCGCACGUAGGCGGUCCGUUAAGUCAUGUGUGAAAUCCCCCGGCUCAACCGGGGAAUUGCGCCUGAUACUGACGGGCUAGAGGUCGAUAGGGGUGAGCGGAACUCCAGGUGGAGCGGUGAAAUGCGUAGAUAUCUGGAGGAACACCGGUGGCGAAAGCGGCUCACUGGAUCGAAACUGACGCUGAGGUGCGAAAGCUAGGGUAGCAAACGGG